UACGGAGGGGGCUAGCGGUGUUCGGAAUUACUGGGCGUAAAGCGCGCGUAGGCGGCUUUGCAAGUUGGGGGUGAAAUCCCGGGGCUCAACCUCGGAAUUGCCUUCAAGACUGCUUGGCUUGAGUUCGGGAGAGGUGAGUGGAAUUCCCAGUGUAGAGGUGAAAUUCGUAGAGAUUGGGAAGAACACCAGUGGCGAAGGCGGCUCACUGGCCCGCAACUGACGCUGAGGCGCGAAAGUGUGGGGAGCAAACAGG
rnacentral:rRNA from 1 species